CCGCACCCCGCGCCCCCGGCUCCCCGCCGUCCGCCCAUGGCGCCCUCCCGGGUCGCCAGCUCAGGACACAGUAACGCAAGAGUCUUAUAACAGCGUGAAGCAGUCUUCCCGUGAUAUGUACUCUAAACU